AAGAGGCAUUAAAAAGAUUAUGACAUAAUCAGGCUUAUUUUCCACUCAAGAGCCGAGGAAGACAUUACACAACAGUUUUCACAGGCCGAGUGGUACUCCUCUCAUUAUGAGUGUCAUGUGUAAAAUUGGUGGAGGUCCCUUUUAAACAUGUUUACUUUUUCAAUUAUUGUUUUCCGCUUGAUCUCAUUAAGCCAUUUCCUGUCCAAAACCUCCCAUAAUUAUCUUCUAUCACUAGGUAGAAGACAUGCAGGGAUACACAUGGGAAUCCUUCACCUCCGCAAGGAAGCAGAAAUCUGGCUUAAACUGCCAGCUUGCCAACUGUCAAACAGAUCAAACUGAGCACCUGCAAUGGCAAGUGAAGACUGAAAUGACUCUCAGAUCACUCCUUAAGAAGUUUCAAAACAUCAAACAUUUCCCUGCACAUUGACAUAUCAAAACACAAAGUGCUGCACCUUUACAUGAACAGUCCGGAUUAAUAAGGCAUCAUUUAA